AGGACGAACGCUGGCGGCGUGCUUAACACAUGCAAGUCGAACGGUGACCCUCGGAGCUUGCUUCGGGGUGAUCAGUGGCGAACGGGUGAGUAACACGUGAGUAACCUGCCCCAGACUCUGGGAUAACCCCGGGAAACCGGAGCUAAUACCGGAUACGACACGGAGAGGCAUCUCUACCGUGUGGAAAGUUUUUCGGUCUGGGAUGGACUCGCGGCCUAUCAGCUUGUUGGCGGGUAACGCCACAAGGCGACGACGCGUAGCCGGACUGAGAGGUUGGCCGGCCACAUUGGGACUGAGACACUGCCCAGACUCCUACGGGGGCUGCAGUAACGAAUCUUCCGCAAUGCACGCAAGUGUGACGGAGCAAACGCCGCGUGUGGGACGAAGCCCUUCGGGGUGUAAACCACUGUCAGGGGCAGCCAAGAACUGAGGCGCCCAGAGGAAGGCACGGCUAACUCUGCGCCAGCAGCCGC
rnacentral:rRNA from 1 species